UACAACUUUCAGCAACGGAUCUCUUGGCUCUCGCAUCGAUGAAGAACGCAGCGAAAUGCGAUAAGUAAUGUGAAUUGCAGAAUUCAGUGAAUCAUCGAAUCUUUGAACGCACCUUGCGCUCCUCGGUACUCCGAGGAGCAUGCCUGUUUGAGUGUCAUGGA
rnacentral:rRNA from 1 species